AGAAACUUUUAAUUUUUUUCAUAUACAUAGUAUGAUAUUUUUAUCGUUUUAAAAAUACAAAAAAUGAAAUAGAUAACAGAUGUAAAAUUAACUUGUUAAUGUUUUGAAGAUAAGUGAGAUGAAAUUUAUAUUGUGUGAUAUCCUGUAUUUGUAAUAUUUUUCAAAUAAGUAAAGUUGUGUGAAUAAAGAGGUUAUAUUGAUUUAUACGAGUUAAAAAAGAAGAUAUAAAUUUAAAAAAUUGUUUAGAAAAAAUGUAGAAACUUAAACUCGAACAGAAUACAAAUUUUUCUCAGGAAUACACGGAUGAAAUUGACAAUCGUUCGAAGGACGUAACAGGAUCCAUUAUACGACUGCUUGAAAGCUCAUAUGAAUUGACAAGAGAAGUAAUAUCGAUAGAAUUGUAUAACAAGUGACUGUAACGCUUAUUGUGUGAUUUCAAUGGAAUCACUUUGAUAACUUUAUUUUCACGCUACGUAUUUUUAUACUAGAUAUAUUUUCUAUAUAUUUUUGUACUAUUUUCCAUAUAUGAAACUGUUUUUCCUUUUUUUUUAAUAAAUUAUUUUUAUAAAUGAAAUUAUUAAAUAAAAAUAU